AACGCACGAGACCUGCGGACCUGCGGAAGGAUCAUUAAUGAGAAACUGCCCCUCGCGGGUAGAUCUCCCACCCUUUGUAAACUUACCUUUGUUGCUUUGGCAGGCCCGUCUCCGGACCGCCGGCUUCGGCUGGCCAGUGCCUGCCAGAGGAUUCUAAAACUCUGUCUGUCAGUGUUGUCUGAGUCUAUUUACAAUCGUUAAAACUUUUAGCAAUGGAUCUCUAGAUCGGAAGAGCACACG
rnacentral:misc_RNA from 1 species